rnacentral:lncRNA from 1 species
CAGGAAUGAACCGAUCUCCAAUUUGUCCAUUUGUAAGGGUUUGAGGAUCAAUUGGUUCCUCACUCUUGGGGCAGGCACAAAUAGUCCCAUAGUAUCUAUAAAUCACGGUUGAGGCUUUACAUUAACUAAUAUCCAAACAAAUGUCUAUAUCUAACAGUAGAAUUUUCUUGCUCCAACUACAUCACUUCUUUAGAUGAGGGAAACAUGCAUACACAUCGGAUUUUGGAUGCUUU